GGCAGGAUCCGGUGUUAGACCCACGCCGUCGGAGCAGAGGGCUGCAUCGCCGGAGUAGGAGACGAACGAUCCCCUUCAAAGCAGGUGAUCAAGGAUUUGUCAUCCGGACGUAAGAAACUGGAAAGCAUAUUGCUAUGAAUAAGACCACUAGGAGCAGGGAGCUUGAUGUUAUUCAGGGUUGGGGUAAUUGAAAAUGUUAUGUAAUAAUCAGAUUUUAGAAGCUCUGUACUGUUCCAACUUCUUCACUAAUGUUAUGACAUUAGUAAAUGAAACUAUUUAUUUUUAUUAUGAAAUUUUA